rnacentral:rRNA from 1 species
AUUGAACGCUAGCGGGAUGCCUUACACAUGCAAGUCGAACGGCAGCACGGACUUCGGUCUGGUGGCGAGUGGCGAACGGGUGAGUAAUGUAUCGGAACGUGCCUAGUAGCGGGGGAUAACUACGCGAAAGCGUAGCUAAUACCGCAUACGCCCUACGGGGGAAAGCAGGGGAUCGUAAGACCUUGCACUAUUAGAGCGGCCGAUAUCGGAUUAGCUAGUCGGUGGGGUAACGGCUCACCAAGGCGACGAACCGUAGCUGGUUUGAGAGGACGAGCAGACACACUGGGACUGAGACGCGGCCCAGACUCCUACGGGAGCCAGCAGUGGGGAAUUUUGGACAAUGGGGGAAACCCUGAUCCAGCCAUCCCGGGUGUGCGAUGAAGGCCUUCGGGUUGUAAAGCACUUUUGGCAGGAAAGAAACGUCAUGGGUUAAUACCCCGUGAAACUGACGGUACCUGCAGAAUAAGCACCGGCUAACUACGUGCCAGCAGCCGCAGUAAGAC